rnacentral:rRNA from 1 species
ACAGCAGUAGCCGCGGGAAUACGGAGGAUCCAAGCGUUAUCCGGAAUCAUUGGGUUUAAAGGGUCCGUAGGCGGUCUUGUAAGUCAGUGGUGAAAGCCCAUCGCUCAACGGUGGAACGGCCAUUGAUACUGCAGGACUUGAAUUAUUGGGAAGUAACUAGAAUAUGUAGUGUAGCGGUGAAAUGCUUAAAGAUUACAUGGAAUACCAAUUGCGAAGGCAGGUUACUACCAAUUGAUUGACGCUGAUGGACGAAAGCGUGGGUAGCGAACAGGAUUAGAUACCCCGGUAGUCCCUGUCUCUUAUAC